rnacentral:lncRNA from 1 species
GUAUCUUUUUUUUUUGGUACCAGGGAUCGAACUCGGGUCCUUCCACUUAUGAAGCAGGCGGCGGAUAAGAGUAUCUUAAUAUGUUAAGAAAAGCUUAUUGGUUUUUUUUGGUUUUGGUACCAGGGAUUGAACUCGAGUCCUUGCACUUGCAAAGCAAGUGGCGGAACCACUGAGCUAAAUCCCCAGCCCAAGAAAACCUUAUUGUUUUAGACAUAUAAAGUUUAAUUUUUUCAAUUAUAGCCAAUUUAAAAUUUUUUACAGCAAAACAUUUAUUGGUACAUUUUAGGCAUACAUAAUGAUAACACUCAUCAUUGGGAAUUUGCACCUGUACAUGGUACAUCCCGCCCUUUUUCCCCAUUCCCCCCUCCAUUGUGUACACUGUAUUGUACAAUGUAUUGAAAUACAGCACAGAUAAAUUGACUUUCACCUUGAUGACACAUUUAUCCCAUUUAAAUGAGUAGUCAAAUAAAAAAAAAAAAAUGGCUGGGGAUUUGGCUCAGUGGCACUGCACCUGCCUUGCAUAUCCGAGGUCCUGAGUUCAAUCCCUGGUACCAAAAAAAAAUACAAAACUGGUGAUGAACUUUUCAUCUUCAAAUUCCUUGGUUUCCAUAAAUGACAGUAUCAUUUCACAAUUCACAAAAUCUUUCCAGCAUUUUACUCCAACUUGGCCACCUCACUUCAGCAAAGUAAAUGAUGUCCCCAUAAUCAACAUCCUUACUCUUAAAGAACUCAUGGAAUUGGUGAUGAUUCGAUCCCUAGGACCUCAUGAAAUUCACAGCUUUGAUGAUGAUUUGCAUAACAUCUUUUUGUUGUUGUUCUGGUACUGGGGAUCAAACUCAGGACCUUGGGCUUGCAAGGCAGGUGAGGCAGCACUGAGCUAACUCCCCGGCUGACUCACUGUUUCAACUCAUGGUGAUUUUCCUGCCUCAGCCUCCGGUACUGGGAUUAUAGGCAUGCACCACCACACCUACCUCCCAUAACAUCUUUUUUUUUUUUUUUUUUUGGUACUGCGAUUGAACUCCAGUCCUUGAACUUGGGUCCUUGCGUUUGCCCAGCAGGUGGCAAAACUACUGAGCUAAAUCCCCAGCCCUAGUUGUAUUUUAGUUUUGUUUUCUUUUUUUGGCAAUGGGGAUCGAACUCAGUACCAAAAACAAAAACAAAACAAAACAAAAAAAACAAAAUUAAGCAGAGUGCCUUAGUUCUCUCAACAAAAAGCACUCAUCCAUUUUCCACUGAAGAUUCUUCCUUCCAUUUUUCUUUUCUUGAGUUGUUUUCUUUUGAACUUGAACUUGUGAUCCUCCUGCUUCAGCCUUUCAGCAUGCUCAAAUCAUAGGUAUGGGCCAUUGUGAUGAAGCCAUUCUGUAGUUAGGAAAUUAAUAACCAUCUGUGUAUUUAUCUAAUUACCAGUAUAAUGCCAUGAACAAAAAACCUUUUUUGUACUUCUUAUAUCACAACUGCUAAAAAACCUAGUUUAACUCAUAGAAUUAUGAAAUAACACAAGCCCAAAUUUAACAGUAAGAAAAUUUACAAUAAAAUAAGGACUAAAUGUAUAAUAGGUAAUGUGAAAUAGGAAGAAAAGGGGCAAAGGGGAAGGAAGUGGGAGGGCUAGGGGAAAGGAUAGAAGGGAAUGGGAUUAAUAUGAGAAAAUGGAAAAAUAGGAACAAAAUCUUUGUAAAUAGGGAGGAAUGGAGGGGUUGGAGGGCUGGGCAAGGGUGAAAAAUAAGAACCAAGAGAGACCAUGUAAAGAUGCAAAUUUCCAAUGAUGA